rnacentral:rRNA from 1 species
UAGGGAAUCUUCGNGCAAUGGGGGGAACCCUGACCGAGCAACGCCGCGUGAGUGAAGAAGGUUUUCGGAUCGUAAAGCUCUGUUGUUAAGGAAGAACGAGUGUGAGAAUGGAAAGUUCAUACUGUGACGGUACUUAACCAGAAAGGGACGGCUAACUACGUGCCAGCAGCCGCGGUAAUACGUAGGUCCCGAGCGUUGUCCGGAUUUAUUGGGCGUAAAGCGAGCGCAGGCGGUUAGAUAAGUCUGAAGUUAAAGGCAGUGGCUCAACCAUUGUAGGCUUUGGAAACUGUUUAACUUGAGUGCAGAAGGGGAGAGUGGAAUUCCAUGUGUAGCGGUGAAAUGCGUAGAUAUAUGGAGGAACACCGGUGGCGAAAGCGGCUCUCUGGUCUGUAACUGACGCUGAGGCUCGAAAGCGUGGGGAGCGAACAGGAUUAGAUACCCUGGUAGUCCACGCCGUAAACGAUGAGUGCUAGGUGUUAGGUCCUUUCCGGGACUUAGUGCCGCAGCUAACGCAUUAAGCACUCCGCCUGGGGAGUACGACCGCAAGGUUG